rnacentral:rRNA from 1 species
UACGUAGGGCGCAAGCGUUAUCCGGAAUUAUUGGGCGUAAAGAGCUCGUAGGCGGUUUGUUGCGUCGGCUGUGAAAUCCCGAGGCUCAACCUCGGGUCUGCAGUCGAUACGAGCAAACUAGAGUGUUGCAGGGGAGACUGGAAUUCCUGGUGUAGCGGUGAAAUGCGCAGAUAUCAGGAGGAACACCGGUGGCGAAGGCGGAUCUCUGGGCCGUAACUGACGCUGAGGAGCGAAAGCGUGGGGAGCGAACAGG